UAAAAAAUAAAAUAAAAUAAAAUAUUAAUAUUCAUAUAAAAAUAAUAUAAAAAAAUUAAAUUUAAAAUAAAAAAAAUUAAAAUUAAAACUAAAAUGAAAAUUAAAUAUAAAAUAUUAUAAAAGUAAACUUCUUAAGUUAUACCUUUUGUAUCAGGGUUAAUUAAUAAAAAAAAAAAUUUAUUAUCUCGAAAAAAAAAAAUUAUAGAAAAAUAUUUAUUAAUAUAACAAAAUUAAAAUAAAGUUAACUAUAGAUUCCAAAAAAAUUCAAUUUUUUAUAUCUAGUUAUUAAAAAAAUUAAUUAAAUUAAAAAUUUAUUUUUAAAUUCUAAAAUCAAUUAAAUCAUAAUAAAUUAAAAAGCUUAAAAGAUAAGUUAUUAGCUUAAGUAAAUUUUUAAUCUUAAAGUCUUUAUAGUGAUAAUAAUAUUCAGUAAACUAAUUUUUAAUAAUUAAACCUUAUUUAAAAAUAUUUUAAAUAUUUAAUUACACUCAUAUUUAAUUAAAAAAUAAAAUUAAAAAAUAAUAAAAAAAAUGAAUAAAUUAAUAUAUUAAAAAAACUUUAUAUAAGAACUAGGCAAACAAUAUUUUCAACUGUUUAUCAAAAACAUUUUUUAAAGAUUAAACAUUUUAAAUAAUUUCUGCUCAACGAUAUUAAAUUAAAUAGCCGCAGUAUAACUAACUGUGCUAAGGUAGCAUAAUAAUUAGUUUUUUAAUUAAAAACUAGAAUGAAAGAAAAUAUGAAAAAUUAACUUUUUCAAAAGAAAAUAAAACUUAAUCUUUAAGUAAAAAAACUUAAAUAUUAUUAAAGGACAAAAAGACCCUUUGGAAUUUUAUAGAAAUAAAAAUUUUUAUAAAAAUUUAAUCUAUUAAGUUGGGGAGACUUUAAAAUAAAAAAAACUUAUAAUAAAAAUAUACAUUAAAAUAUGAACUAAAAUUUAACAACCCAAAAAAGAAAAAUAAACAAAUUACCCAAGGGAUAACAGCGCUAAAAUUUUUAAAAGAUCAAAUUAACAAAAUUUAAUGCGACCUCGAUGUUGGAUUAAGAAUUAUUUUUAAAGAAACAUUUAUUAAAUUUGGUCUGUUCGACCAUUAAAAUCUUACAUGAUCUGAGUUCAGACCGGCGUAAGCCAGGUCAGUUUAUAUCCUUAAUCUAACAAAUUAUUAUAGUACGAAAGGACCUAAUAAAAAAAAUAAAUU
rnacentral:rRNA from 1 species